UACGUAGGGUGCGAGCGUUAAUCGGAAUUACUGGGCGUAAAGCGUGCGCAGGUGGUUGUGUAAGCCAGAUGUGAAAUCCCCUGGCUUAACCUGGGAAUGGCAUUUGGGACUGCACGGCUAGAGUGUGGCAGAGGGGGGUGGAAUUCCGCGUGUAGCAGUGAAAUGCGUAGAUAUGUGGAGGAAUACCGAUGGCGAAGGCAGCCCCCUGGGAUAACACUGACGCUCAUGCACGAAAGCGUGGGGAGCAAACAGG
rnacentral:rRNA from 1 species